CACCGGGGAUUGCCUUAGUAACGGCGAGUGAAGCGGCAAAAGCUCAAAUUUGAAAUCUGGUACCUUCGGUGCCCGAGUUGUAAUUUGGAGAGGGCAACUUUGGGGCCGUUCCUUGUCUAUGUUCCUUGGAACAGGACGUCAUAGAGGGUGAGAAUCCCGUGUGGCGAGGAGUGCGGUUCUUUGUAAAGUGCCUUCGAAGAGUCGAGUUGUUUGGGAAUGCAGCUCUAAGUGGGUGGUAAAUUCCAUCUAAAGCUAAAUAUUGGCGAGAGACCGAUAGCGAACAAGUACAGUGAUGGAAAGAUGAAAAGAACUUUGAAAAGAGAGUGAAAAAGUACGUGAAAUUGUUGAAAGGGAAGGGCAUUUGAUCAGACAUGGUGUUUUGUGCCCUCUGCUCCUUGUGGGUAGGGGAAUCUCGCAUUUCACUGGGCCAGCAUCAGUUUUGGUGGCAGGAUAAAUCCAUAGGAAUGUAGCUUGCCUCGGUAAGUAUUAUAGCCUGUGGGAAUACUGCCMGCUGGGACUGARGACUGCSACNUAAGUCAAGGAUGCUGGCAUAAUGGUUAUWUGCCSCCCGUCUUGAAACACSGACCAA
rnacentral:rRNA from 1 species